rnacentral:tRNA from 1 species
GGGUCUCUAUCCAAAUUGGUGAAGGAAGCAGACUGUAAAUCUGUGACAUUAGAAACGCUGCUGGUUCGAAUCCAGGGGGGCCCA